GAUGAACGCUGGCGGCGUGCCUAAUACAUGCAAGUCGAGCGAACGGACGAGAAGCUUGCUUCUCUGAUGUUAGCGGCGGACGGGUGAGUAACACGUGGAUAACCUACCUAUAAGACUGGGAUAACUUCGGGAAACCGGAGCUAAUACCGGAUAAUAUUUUGAACCGCAUGGUUCAAAAGUGAAAGACGGUCUUGCUGUCACUUAUAGAUGGAUCCGCGCUGCAUUAGCUAGUUGGUAAGGUAACGGCUUACCAAGGCAACGAUGCAUAGCCGACCUGAGAGGGUGAUCGGCCACACUGGAACUGAGACACGGUCCAGACUCCUACGGGAGGCAGCAGUAGGGAAUCUUCCGCAAAGGGCGAAAGCCUGACGGAGCAACGCCGCGUGAGUGAUGAAGGCCUUCGGAUCGUAAAACUCUGUUAUUAGGGAAGGACAUAUGUGUAAGUAACUGUGCACAUCUUGACGGUACCUAAUCAGAAAGCCACGGCUAACUACGUG
rnacentral:rRNA from 1 species